rnacentral:rRNA from 1 species
AGCGAAACUCCGCUCAGCGCUCAGUUGGCUGAAUGCAGCUUCCACCAGCGAACGCCGGGUUUUUUCUUUUUGUUGCGCUCUAACACCCAUCACAAUGUCUGAAUCCUUCCAUAUGCCUUAUUCGGCAUCCAAGGCUAAAUACUCCUGACUGACCGAUAGUGAACCAGUACCGUGAGGGAAAGGCGAAAAGAACCCCGGCGAGGGGAGUGAAAAAGAACCUGAAACCGUGUACGUACAAGCAGUGGGAGCACCCU